rnacentral:rRNA from 1 species
AACAAACGCUGGCGGCGUUCCUAAUACAUGCAAGUCGAACGGGGAAAGCUUUCGGGUGAGUACUAGUGGCGCACGGGUGAGUAACGCGUGGAUAAUCUGCCUUAGAGUGGGGGAUAACUAGUCGAAAGAUUAGCUAAUACCGCAUAAGACCACAAGAACCGCGGUUCAAGGGGUCAAAGGUUUUUCGCUCUAAGAUGAGUCCGCGUAAGAUUAGCUAGUUGGUAGGGUAACGGCCUACCAAGGCGACGAGCUUUAACUGGUCUGAGAGGAUGAUCAGUCACACUGGAAAUGAGACACGGUCCAGACUCCGACGGGAGGCAGCAGUAGGGAAUAUUGCACAAUGGAGGAAACUCUGAUGCAGCGACGCCGCGUGAGUGAUGAAGGCCUUCGGGUCGUAAAGGUCUGUCGCAGGGGAAUAACACAAUGAAGGUACCCUGUAAGAAAGGAUCGGCUAACUUCGUGCCAGCCGCCGCCGUAAGAC